rnacentral:misc_RNA from 1 species
CAGUGGUCUCUCCUCUCGCAGUCGCUUCGAUAUUCAGUGUUUUAAACCCUAAACCCUAGCCGACUAUAAGAAGAAAGGAAAGGCACAUAGGAAGGAGAAGGAGACCACUGAAUUCUAGCUUUCCAUCUCACUGUACAAUAUACAUAACUGACCUAGCUUUAAUGGCCCCUGCUGCACUUAACAAAACAAAAGGCUCAAAAUUACAGAAACCUCCACCAAAAAAAAAGCCAAAGAAUGAUAUUUUCACUGAAAAACACCUAAAGGAAGAUGACAUUUUGGAUGAUUCUGGUAGCUCAGAUGAAGAAGUAGAAGACCAGGAAGAGUUUGAUAUAGAUGAGCAGGGAUCUGCUUCUGGUUCUGAUAUCCUUUCUGAUGGUGAUGAUACAUUCACUGAUGAUUUUCUGCAAGAAAAUGAUGAUGAAGAGAAAGUUUCAAGUUCAGAUUCUGGUAAGGAUUCAGGUUCAGAUUCUGGUUCAGAUUCAGAUUCUCGUUCAGAUUCAGAUGAAUCUGAUAUUGGAAAAAGUCAAGAGCUCUUGAUGAACAAAAAGCAAAGGAAGAAAAAAAUGUUGAAGAAGAAAUGCGACUCAACCUUGCAGAAGAAUCUGAUGAAUUCAGAUUGCCCGCCAAGGAGGAACUUGAAGAAGAAGCACACAGGCCUCCAGAUCUUCCAAAUCUCCAGAGGAGGAUAAGAGAGUCUUUACCAAGGUUUUGGGUCACAAUGCCAUUGAUAGGUUGUUGUUGGACGCUCCUUGCAGUGGGACUGGGGUAAGCACAGCUGCUAUAGAGAUUCACUCGAGCAUUGGCUUCUUUUUACUGCUAUGAAACUGUAAGGUUUUUAUUCAUUUUGUUGGUCAUAUCUAAAGAUGAAUUUGUUAAAACCUCUAAAAGCUUUGAAGAUAUACAGAAAUGUGCCCAUUUGCAGAAGGUAUGGUCCUUAUGUGUUUUUUAAAACAUUCAAUAGUUUGUAGAAGAACUAUAGUUUCUUUUAACCUGUAAGGUUACGGAGUAGAGCCCUAAUGUAAUCAUGCUUUAUUCUGAUGCUGCCUCAUAUUCACUGUGAAAAUAAGCUUAAGCAAUUCCAAAGUACUAAGGUUUUCAAAUGAGUUAACCCAUCCUUUUCUUAGCAGUUGUUACUGCACCAUAAAAGUUGGCAAUAGGAUGUUCUUGACAGGGCUAGAGAAAAUGUCUUGCUUAUCAUUUCAUUUAUUCUUUCCUAAUAAAAUUAUUUACUUUUGUUAACUUUAUCAUUACUUCUUUUUUUAUUUUAUUUUUUAUCAAAUGAACCUUUUGCCAAACACUUAACAUGCUUUUGCCUGUAGCAAUUGAUUCUUGCUGCAAUUGACAUGGUCAAUGCAAGCUUGAAAUCUGGGGAAUAAAUUUUUUACCCCACAUGUUCCAUGAUGCUUGUUGAGGUCUGUUUAUAAGAAUAUGCCCUUGUGGGUUUCCAUUUAUUACUUUUCCCUUUAUCAUUCUGAACUUUUAUCUUGUAGAAUGAAGCAGUCUUCAACUAUGCUCUCAAAAUGAGGGAUGUCAAACUUGUCCCAUGUUGACUCCACUUUGGGCAUCCAUGGUUUAUCCGGUUUAGGGAAUAUUGUUUUCACCCAUCUUUGGAAAAGACAAGAUGUUUCUACCCUCAUGUUAACAACAUGGAUGGAUUUUUUGUGGCAAAGUUAAAUCUUGAUCAUCAAAGUGCCAUUUCUAAUUUUGAUAAUGAACAAACUGGCCCCCAGUUAUUGGCAAUUUGGCAUACUUGAACUAUUUUUCUGGUUUCACAUUUUGUGGCAAAGGUGAGUCCUGAUUUUGUAAGUGCUGAAGGUCUUGGAGUUCUGCGCAGCAAAAAUGUUCCUGAAUACCUACACUUAUAAUUAAUGGUAGCGCUUGUUGACAAUCUGUCUUGUGAGGCUAACCAAUGCAUGCUUUGGAUUUUUUUCUCAAGCAUUCUUUUUCUUCAGUAGCCAUGCUGGAAUAUUAGACCAAAGUCACUUUCUACAUGAUGGCUUUGAUCCCAAGGAUGCAUAUUACUCUACAAAUAAACAUAUUACUAUACAAAUAACCCAAAACAGAGUUUAAUUGCAUUUGCAAUAAACUAGAGCACUUUUUCAAGAUCUCUAAUAGUUGUGAGAAUAACCAUCUCAUUCUUCAGGAUUUGUCAAGUGCAUGAUAAUGGCCAUUUUGGUAUAUAAGCCUAAAGUCUGAAUGCGAUACCAAACUUUGACGUGGUGGUUUAAUUCAAGUUGCAAAAAUGAGGAGCCCUUUGCAUUUAUACCUAUAAGGCAAAGAGGGCUUUGGAAUAUGGAUUAGUUGAACUUUGUAACCGGUAAUUCCUCAUGCUUGAAGUGGAGUAUAUGAAGGAUGAGAGAUGUAGUUAAUAGGAUUAACAGCCCAAGGAGAAUCUAGGUUUCCUUCUUACAAUCCUUUCCUAUGACCAAUCAUAAUUUUGGUCAAGCUUCUUAGGCAAAUGUUUGCAAUUUGAUGUGGUCAUUUGAUUUUGGAUCUUACCACUCCAUUCGGACACAAAUGAAUGAGGAAUUCGUUUCAUUUUACAAGUUAUAAUUGAUUUGCAAUUGAUUUUUUAUUAUUUUAUUUAUUUUAUUUUAUUUUUUGUUUGUAGUUUAGAACCUGGUAAUAUAAUUCAACUCAAUUCAGUUAAAUGUUGUGUUUGAAGCAAAUGAAGAAUUAAAUUUAAUAUCCAUUGCUUUCAUAAUUUCCUACACAUAUAAUAUAGUUUUCAAUCAACUGUUUUGACUUUGCAAUUCUAUUUUACCUUUUGCGGUUGAAGAAAAUGAGCAAUUCAAUGCCUACUGCUGCACCAUCUAAACCUUUAGAAUCAGUUGAAUAAGCUUCUGGAUCAAAUGAGAGCAAUAGUGAAAAGAAAAUUGUAGAGCCUUUGAAUAUAAAAAGGUGCUAUGAAAAAAGGUGAGGGCCUAAUUAAUGUUGUGUCUGAUAAUGGAAAUGUGGAAUCCCCAUCCCCCGCCAAGAACAGGAGGAAGAAAAUUUCCGUCCAGAGAGGAAAUCUUAAAAGGCCGGUAAAUGUCUCUUCAAUUUGUACCAAUCUUCUUUCUAUUCAUCAUAAAGGUCGCAUGUAUUAUCUGUUGUACAUAGUUCAGAUAAAAAAUGAUGGGAACUGUUUAAUCAUAGUAAAAUUGUUCCAUCUGUUGGACACAGUACAUUCAUUAUCAUCUGAAGGCUUACUAUGUUCAAAUGCGAAGCAAAAUAAUGUUGACCUUUCCCUCUUAAGGAGAACAGUAUUUCUUAGUGGAAUUAGAAACUAAUUACUUAAAAACUGCUGCAGAGAGGAGAAGAGAAGAACUCUGAGGGAAGCCAAAAAGAGGAUGGCAAGGAAGAGUGGCACUGAAGAAUGACCAGCUGGUUACAUAACAGGGCAUGAUAACUGAUAUUUUUAAUUGGUAAUACAAAGAUAAGAAUGAAGAAUUGCUUGAAGCAACAUGCUUGUGUGGUGUGCAAAACCACAGUAGAGAAAUGCAUCGACCCAGUAGCACAAUGUGUUGUUUAAUUUUGUUAGCAUUAAUUAAGGGGAGUUGUCCUUAAUAUGAUUGUCAAAUCCUUAUUUCCUACUUGUUACUCUUUUAAAUAGAAUAGAUGGGUUAGUCAAUUCAACAUAUCUAUUGAGACAUGGAGGACUUUCAACUAAUUUCUUAUUUAUGGAUUUUUAGGUGUUAAGAUGAAUCAAGCUCAACUCUACCUAAAAGACUUAUCUUAUAGGAGAGAAUUGCCAAAAUUAUAUAGUAGGCAUUUUGCAACUUUUGGCAUUUUAGCGCGCACUUGUUC